UCCUGAAGAAAAUCAUGGAAUACUAGGAGAUAAGUAAAAAAGCACAUUGCAUGUACAGCAGCAAAUUGAUACUUUGAAAGGAAGCAUGUUACAUCCAUAGUCUUUUUUCCCCAACAUUAAUUCAAAGUACCCAGGAUUUUUUUUCUUAAAUUCAUAUAAAAAAACAAUAAGAAAGAGAGGAUAAAUGGGACUGGAAAUCUGCUAACUUCUAAUAGAACAAGUUACCACAAAUCACAAUCUUCAAUCUUGGUUACCUCCACC
rnacentral:lncRNA from 1 species